GACGAACGCUGGCGGCGUGCUUAACACAUGCAAGUCGAACGGCAGCGCCCUGCUUUUGUGGGGUGCUCGAGUGGCGAACGCGUGAGUAACACGUGUGUAACCUGCCCUUGACUUUGGGAUAACUUCAGGAAACUGGGGCUACUACCGGACAGGAGCUCCUGCUGCAGGGUGGGCGUUGGAAAGUUUCGGCGGUUGGGGAUGGACUCGCGGGUUAACAGCUUGUUGGUGGGGUAGUGGCUUACCCAGCCAUGCACGGGUCGGCGGCCGGAGAGGGUGGCCGGCGUCAUUGCGCCUGCGGGAGGGCCCAGUGUCCAAUGUUGGGCAGUGGUCGGGAGUCUUACACAGUGGGCGGGAGUCUGAUGCGGCAGCGCCGCGUUCGUGAUGACGGCCUGCGGGGUGAAAACCGCUGUCGCCUGAGACGAAGCGUGUGUGACGGUAAUGGGUAAAGAAGCACCGGCUAACUACGUG
rnacentral:rRNA from 1 species